UAAAUGUAAAUAUAAAAUUUAUUAAUUUAGGAAUUAAAGAACACUGAAAAAGCCCGAAUACGGCGAUGACAAAGAGAUAUUGAGACUCUCACGCUAUUGUUACACACACAUAGAACCAUACUUUUAUAUUUUAUGUCAGAGCCGGCUAUACCGCUGCAU